GGGAAUGUGCCUUAGUGGUAUAGAGUGCUUGCCUUGCAUGCAUGAAGCCCUGGGUUCGAAUCCUCAGUACCA
rfam:Dipodomys ordii contig_11363, whole genome shotgun sequence.